GCGUAAGUUACUCAAGGGCAUGCGGUGGAUGCCUUGGGAGAAAUGACCGAAGAAGGACGUAGUAGACUGCGAUAAGCCUCGGGUAGGUGUCAAACAACCUGUGAUCCGGGGAUGUCCGAAUGGAGCAAUCCUCCCGCCAAUUUAGGGCUGGUGUAUCAAACAUUCCAAUCGAUAAAUAAUUAGUUGAUUAGUCGAAUGGGUAGUAGCGAUAUACAAGCUUUGAAUUGGCGGGAACCCAUUGUUGAAUACAUAGACAAUGAGGAGGGAACCGUGUGAACUGAAACAUCUUAUUAGCACGAGGAAAAUAGAACAAAUGUUAUUCCCUAAGUAGUGGCGAGCGAAAAGGGAAGAGUCUAAACUUUCUUACAUGUUAAAGCCUACUGGCGUUGUGUAGGAGAGGGUUAUAAGGGUGAUGUAUUUUUGGGCGGUAGACCAAAUUAGGAGUUAACAAUGAUUUUCUUAGCUGAAGGUCUCUGGAAAGGGCAACCAUAGUGGGUGAAAGUCCCGUAAGCGAAAAGAAAAUCACUCUGAACAUUAUUUCUUAAGUACGGUGGGACCCGUGAAAUCCUGCCGGAAUGUGCCAGGACCAUCUGGUAAGGCUAAAUAUCAUUUCUCACCGAUAGUGAACUAGUACCGUGAGGGAAAGGUGAAAAGUCCCCCUGUGAGGGGAGUGAAAUAGUACCUGAAACCGAAUGCCCGAUUAAAAGUCGGAGCCCCGCCAGCACAGAGUGCUGGAGUAACCAAACGCCAAUAAUCAAUCAUCAAAUGAGCACCAGAUAAUAAUUUUUCUGUUUUUUUUGUUUAGAAAUUUAAAUUUGGAGUUUGUUUGUGAUUUGUGAUUUGGAAUUUGGUUAUUUCAUCCAGCAUUGUGUGCUGAUGGGGUGACGGCGUGCCUUUUGUAGAAUGAGCCAACGAGUUAAUUUCUGUUGCAAGGAUAAGGAUUUUUAAUCCGUAUCCGAAGCGAAAGCAAGUGCGAAUAGCGCGACUGAAGUAGCAGGGAUUAGACCCGAAACCGGGUGACCUAACUAUGGCCAGGCUGAAGCUGCCCUAAGAAGCAGUGGAGGGCCGCACACACCUACGUUGAAAAGUGGGGUGAUGAGCUGUGGUUAGCGGAGAAAUUCCAAUCGAACCCGGAGAUAGCUGGUUCUCCCCGAAAUAUAUUUAGGUAUAGCCUCAUAGCGUUCCCAGCAGUGGUAGAGCUACUGAAUGGAUUCGGGCGGUUUACCGUACCGCAUCCAAUUAAACUCCGAAUACUGUCUGGUUAAAGCAUGGGAGUCAGAAAACGGCGGCUAAGCGUCGUAUGUCGAAAGGGAAACAGCCCAAACCGCCAUCUAAGGUCCCUAAAUCUAGCUAAGUGUGAAAGGAAGUGGAGACACAUUAACAACCAGGAGGUUGGCUUAGAAGCAGCCAUCCUUUAAAGAUAGCGUAAUAGCUCACUGGUCGAUGUGUGUCUGCGCCGAAAAUGUAACGGGGCUAAGCUAGAUACCGAAGAUGCGGAUGCCAUUGCUCCGCAAUGGAAAUACGAAAUUCGAAAUCAUAAACUCUAAACAAAUUCCAAUGAUUCAAUUUUCCAAACAUUUUUUGGGACAUUAGGAUUUGGGGCUUGUUUAGAAUUUAGUAAUUAGGAUUUAGUGCUUCCACUGCGUAGCAGUGGUGUGGUAGGGGAGCGUUCUGCGCAGCAGUGAAGCUUAACUGUGAGGUUGGGUGGAGCGCGCAGAAGUGAGAAUGUUGGCACGAGUAGCGAGAUCAAGGUGAAAAACCUUGACGCCGAUUUAUCCGAGGUUUCCUGGGUAACGGUUUUCGUCCCAGGGUUAGUCGGUCCUAAGCCGAGGCCGCAAGGCGUAGGCGAUGGACAACAGGUUAAUAUUCCUGUACUGCUUGAUAUUCGCCCAAGACAAGCAAAUUGGUAGAUCAGAUGAUCAACCUGCCGAAAGGUAGGCUGGAUGCUGACUUUACCGGUCUGCACGUCUAGUGAUGGGGCGACGCAAGUUGGUAGGCCGAGCCAAGAUAGGUUUCUUGGUCUAAGUAGUUAAUGGGGUCCCUUUGGCAAAUCCGGGGGACUGUUCAAUUUAUUGAGCAACCGUGAGCUACGAAUGGAAGUUGAGUUCUUCGGGACAAUACGACUUGGCUGAUCUAAUUUGACCAGAAAAACCUCUAACGAGAAUAUUAAGCAUCCGUACCUAAACCGACACAGGUGGAUAGGGCGAGUAGCCUCAGGCGCACGAGAGAACCCUCUUUAAGGAACUCGGCAAAAUAGCGUCCGUAACUUCGGAAUAAGGACUGCCCACAUCGUGCUUCGCACGAGUAAAUUUAGUCAAUCUAAACAAUCUCACCAAUCUUACCAAUCUAUGAAAAUAAAUUGGCGAAGGUUGGAAUAAAUUGGAAUAAAUUGGUUAGAUUUCCUCACGCGGAGCGUGAGGUGGGCCGCAGCUAAAGACAUCAGGCGACUGUUUAGCAAAAACACAGGUCUCUGCUAACUCGAAAGAGGAAGUAUAGGGACUGACGCUUGCCCGGUGCCAGAAGGUCACGUAGAGGGGUUAGCCGCAAGGCGAAGCUCUGACACUAAGCCCUGGUGAACGGCGGCCGUAACUAUAACGGUCCUAAGGUUCUCGGUUGAACAAUUAAAAUUGUUAAAUCGAGAAGGACUGGGACUGUUAUAAGCGAUACGAUAACUCGCAAAAUGCUACCUUACUUUAUGGCAACAUAAAGAAAGUCCAUACGUGGCUACAAGAGGCCAUACACCACGCCCCCGACUAAUCGGGGUGAAGACAUGGUCCUUAGUGUAAGGAAUCUAAGAGCGAAAUUCCUUGUCGGGUAGGUGGGAAACUUGCCCGAAUGUAGUGGUAACACUACAAAGCAAACUGACUCAUAUCGGUGAAAGCUAAAUCCUUAUGCUAUGGGGAUAUGCUAAUACCGAGGGAACACCUUAUAAUUAAGGUGACCCGUAACGACUGAGCCGAAAGGCGAGGUUCUGCUGUAAAGCGGAACAACACGUCAGCUCUUGUCUAGCAAACAAACUAUGGAUAUCGCGAAAACGAUCUCCUACGGUUUGCGACAAGAUGAAGGUAUAGUCUGAUCUCUAUUGAAAAAUAGAGUUAACAUGAAGUUCCGACCCGCACGAAUAGCGUAACGGUCUGAUGACUGUCUCAAAGAGGGACUCGGCGAAACUACAUUGCCGGUGAAGAUGCCGGCUAUCCGCAGCAAGACAAAAAGACCCCGUGGAGCUUUACUACAACCUGGCGUUGGGUUAGAGAUUUAUUUGUGUAGGAUAGGUGGGAGACAAUGACCUGGUGGCGCUAGCCAUCAGCGAGUCAACGGUGAAAUACCACCCUGAUGCAUUUUUAAUUCUAACUCCUAGCCAUUAUCUGGCAGGAGGACAGCGUUUGGUGGGUAGUUUAACUGGGGCGGUUGCCUCCUAAAAAGUAACGGAGGCGUUCAAAGGUUCCCUAGUCCCGGAUGGAAAUCGGGACGAUAGCGCAAUAGUAUAUGGGAGCUUAACUGCGAGACCUACAAGUCAAGCAGAUGCGAAAGCAGGAUAUAGUGAUCCGACGGUUGCACAUGGGUGCGCCGAAGCUCAACGAAUAAAAGUUACCCCGGGGAUAACAGGCUGAUCGCUUCCAAGAGUCCAUAUCGACGAAGCGGUUUGGCACCUCGAUGUCGGCUCGUCACAUCCUGGAGCUGGAGCAGGUUCCAAGGGUUCGGCUGUUCGCCGAUUAAAGUGGCACGCGAGCUGGGUUCAGAACGUAAAUCACAUUGCGUUCUACCGCAGAAAUGCGGUACAAUAAAUGUGGCUGUAUCGGAGAAACCCUACUUUCCUACCGAACGGAAAAAGGGUAACCCCGAGGGAAGAUCAAGAUAAUGGCAGAAACAUUACUUGCUUACAUUGCAGGAUUUUUGGAUGGAGAUGGUUGCAUUAUGGCGCAACUGGUGAAACGGAGUGGAUAUGUCCACGGCUAUCAGAUUCGAGUCAGCAUUGUCUUUUAUCAAAAAGAAGACAGAAAACACUUUCUCGAAUGGCUUAAGGGCCACCUGAAACAUGGAUAUGUUCGUGUUCGUAAUGAUCAGAUGGCUGAAUACACGAUUGUUGGGUAUCAGCCGGUCUACGAAGUUUUAACCAAAUUGUUGCCAUAUCUGCAACUGAAACAAGUCCUAGCGCAGAAGGUUAUUGAUUUAUGCGUUAAGGGCAUUGGUUCUUCAUACCAGAGAAUCACUCCCCAAGAGUUGCUUGCUAGAGCGACUCUAGUGGAUGAAACCGCAAAGUAUAAUUACUCAAAGAAACGCACGACCACGCAAGCAACGGUCAAACAAUUUCUGCAAACACAUCAUCUUGUUCCCCGUAACGACUGAUUCAAUUGUUCAAAGCAAGAACAACUGAUGAGAUUUUGCCGUAGCGCAGAAUCACACGCCACCUCCUCCUCCGCCGGUGGGCGGAAAGGAUGAAGAUAUAGUCUAUGCCAUUAGUAAUAAUGGAUUAUCAUGCGUGAGACAGUUCGGUCUCUAUCUGCUGUGGACGAAGGAAAUUUGAGGAGAGUCACUGAUAGUACGAGAGGACCUCAGCGAACAUACCUCUGGUGUACCGGCUGUGCUACCAAGCGCAUCGUCGGGUAGCUACGUAUGGAAGGGAUAAGCGCUGAAAGCAUCUAAGCGCGAAGCCCACUCCAAGAUAGAUUUCCAAAUACCCGCAAGGGAAAGAAACUCCAAGGAGACCACUUGGUUGAUAGGCGACAGGUGUAAGUCCCGUAAGGGAUUCAGCCGAGUCGUACUAAUAAGUUAAUUACUUACACUC
rfam:Candidate division Kazan bacterium RIFCSPLOWO2_01_FTLL_45_19 RIFCSPLOWO2_01_FTLL_KAZAN_45_19, whole genome shotgun sequence.